AUAGGCAGCUUUAGCCAACCAGGCAGCUGACUGCAGAUACAGGCCUGCAUCCAGAUGAGUCCAGAAAAGCAACCUAGACACUACUGGCAAAGACAUUGAAAAGAAUCACACUGCUAAACCAGUAGCAGCUUUUAUCUUCUUCUCAGAUUGUAUACAUGCAGGAUAAAAGUGUUUCUAACACAUAGACUUCUAUAUUCCAGCAUAAAGAUGUAUUAGGCGCAUUUAUACUUUUACAUCGAAGCCUGUUUCAACAUGAACGGAGCCCAGGGAAGUUGGUGACUUAAUCCUCGUUAUACCCUGAUUUUGGACAAAUUUUACAAGAAGAAUAGGACUUCUACUUCUCUAUGUCUACAUGCACCUGGAACAGUGCUAGGUCUAUGCUUACAAAUUGAUUGGUUCAGGUCACCGCCAUGAGCCUCAGGACAGAAAAUUGCCGGAUAUGAGAGAGAGAGAGAGAUUUGACUGGGCUAAGAAAGAAAUGAACACGAUUUAGAGAUGGAAAUGGUGACAUAUGGGCCUUUGAAGCCUCCCAUGUUCCAGAGAAGGUGAGGUUUCACCAUGUUAGUCAGGAUGGUCUCGAUCUCCUGACCUCGUGACCUGCCCAGCUCGGCCUCCCAAAGUGCUGGGAUUACAGGCAUGAGCCAUUGCGCCUAACCUCAGAAACCAUUUUUAUAACCUCAAUACCUAAUAGAAACUGGCACAUGGCCCCUGUGAGCUGUGACUGCAAGAGUCAGCACCUAAAUUAGAUCAACACUACAACAUCAAAAAGCCAGCUUGAUGGCACAGCGGGGAGUGAGGAAGACUCGGUGGACAAAUCUGACUGGAAAACAAGUAGGCGUUGCAGAUGGCUGGAGUGCAGUGGCACGACCUUGGCUCACUGCAACCUGUGCCUCCCGGGUUCAAGCAAUUCACCUGUCUCAGCCUCCUGAGUAGCUGGGACUACAGAUAUUAAUCAUCUUUAGGAUUAGAACCUAAAGCGUAAGUCUAAUUGUGCCCAGAAUUGCUUCCUUCCAGUGGGUUCCUGGUCUCGUUGACUUCAAGAAUGAAGCUGCAGACCCUCACAGUGAGUGUUAACAGCUCUUAAAGAUGGUGUAUCCUGAGUUUGUUCCUUCCAGGUGUUCAGAUGUGCCUGGAGUUUCUUCCUUCUGGUGGGUUCGUGUUCUUGCUUACUUCAGGAGUGAAGCCACAGACCCCCGUGAUAUUACUCUAGGAAAAUUUACAACCUGAAGCAAGGAGAAAUAAGAUUUCUCUUCUAAAUGCUGAAUUUGAAAGGCUUCAUUGGUAUUGCAUUGGAUCCAUAAAUUAGUUGGAAAAAACUGCCACCUUUAACAGUUCUGAGCCUUCCAAUCCAUGAGCAUGGCUGGAGUGCAGUGGCAGGAUCUCGGCUCACUGUGACCUCCGCCUCCCAGGUUCAAGAUAUUCUCCUGCCUCAGCCUCCUGAGUUGCUGGGAAUACAGGCACACACCAUCACACCCGGCUAAUUUUUUGUAUUUUUGUAGAGACGGGGUUUCGCCAUGUUGGCCAGGUUGGUCUCGAACUUCUGACCUCAGGUGAUCUGCCUGCCUUGGCCUCCCAAGGUUUUGAGAUUACAGAAGUAAGCCACCGCUCCUGGUGUGAAUGAAAACUUAUCUCACUAUCUCAAGUGAAUAAAACCAACUUUUGAUUAAUGACAACUUUAAAUAA
rnacentral:lncRNA from 1 species